GGCGGAGCUUCCCAGUCGCCCUGGGCGACCGCUCCCGGCCUUUCCCCUCCGGGAAGUAAAGGGGGGCGGGGCUGGGAAGAGGGAGGGCUACCAUGGUAACCGGAUGGCGCGUCUUGGCCUAGUCUCUGACCAGGCACGCUGCCCACAAUGGUUGGUCCAUUUACAAGUAGCGUGAUGCUCUUACACUACGCAGUUGACCCCUCACCCUCUCAAGGCUGACCCGCCACCACUUACCCGCUAGAGCUCCUGUGUUCUCUCCACAAUAUAGACAUCCUACAAGUUUCUGCUUCUGCCCACCCCACGACAGGCUCCAAAACCGGGUUCUAAGAAACGCCUAAGAGACUUCUUGGGCUUCAUCUUCAAAAGAGCCCCAUUCUGCAGCCUGCUUUCCAAGUCUGCUCAGGAAUUGGGAAGAAGAUCAGCGUUAUGAGCCUCAGUAAACGUGAUCCUGCUGGCCUAAGAAUUAUUCCAGCUCAUUUUGGAAAAAUCUGAUUGGAAGAACUAUGGAAACAGAAAUGAGACAUUGUCAUCUGAGUUCUGAUCAGCAGGGGGCACUAUCGCACCUCCCUGUACCCUACCCAAGAAGAAGAAGACCUCAUCCUAGAUAAGCCAAAGGGGUAUUGAGAGCACCACUGCAUUCCUGAGGCCUCUACAUUUGAACAGAUAAUCUCCUCUUGAUCCAGGGAAGCAGGUGCACUGACAGCAAGGGGCCCAGUGCUAUUGUUUUCCUGGUGACCAACAAUACAACAAUUAUGUUAACAGGUGUAUAUGUCCCUCCCCAUCCCUCCUCUCUCCAUCCCUCCCCACCACCUUUCCCUUAAAAAGGGUGCAAUGACUUUAUGUCCUAACCAUUGCUCUCCUCUUUCCCCUCAUUUCUUCCAAAAAAGCUUCUGAUUCCAUCUUGAAUUAAAAGGACUUUAGACAAACUAAAGGAGGAGAAAAAU